UCUCACAAAGCACAGCUGAAACAUUUACAAAUUAUAUCUGUUCCUUUUUUUUUUUUUUUUUUUUUUUUUUUUUUUUUUUUUUUUUUUU